rnacentral:rRNA from 1 species
GCGCAGCAGUCGCGAAACCUCUGCAAUAGGCGAAAGCUUGACAGGGUUACUCUGAGUGAUCUCCGUUAAGGAGAUCUUUUGGCACCUCUAAAAAUGGUGCAGAAUAAGGGGUGGGCAAGUCUGGUGUCAGCCGCCGCGGUAAUACCAGCACCCCGAGUGGUCGGGACGUUUAUUGGGCCUAAAGCAUCCGUAGCCGGUUCUACAAGUCUUCCGUUAAAUCCAGCUGCUUAACAGAUGGGCCGCGGAAGAUACUAUAGAGCUAGGAGGCGGGAGAGGCAAGCGGUACUCGAUGGGUAGGGGUAAAAUCCGUUGAUCCAUUGAAGACCACCAGUGGCGAAGGCGGCUUGCCAGAACGCGCUCGACGGUGAGGGAUGAAAGCUGGGGGAGCAAACCGGAUUAGAUACCCGGGUAGUCC